UACGUAGGGUGCAAGCGUUGUCCGGAAUUAUUGGGCGUAAAGAGCUCGUAGGCGGUUUGUCGCGUCGGCUGUGAAAUCCCGGGGCUCAACCUUGGGCUUGCAGUGGGUACGGGCAGACUAGAGUGCGGUAGGGGUGACUGGAAUUCCUGGUGUAGCGGUGAAAUGCGCAGAUAUCAGGAGGAACACCGGUGGCGAAGGCGGGUCUCUGGGCCGAUACUGACGC
rnacentral:rRNA from 1 species